rnacentral:rRNA from 1 species
UACGUAGGGUGCAAGCGUUGUCCGGAUUUAUUGGGUUUAAAGGGUGCGUAGGCGGUCUAUUAAGUCAGUGUUUAAAUUUUGCAGCUUAACUGUAGGUAUGGCAUUGAUACUGGUGGACUUGAAUAUUAGAGAGGUAGCUGGAAUUUAUGGUGUAGCGGUGAAAUGCUUAGAUACCAUAAGGAACACCGAUAGCGGAGGCAGGUUACCAUUUGAUGAUUGACGCUGAGGCACGAAAGUGUGGGGAUCAAACAGG